GAACAUUGGAAUUAAGAUAUUAAUUAAUUGUAAGACUUAAAAGGAUUGACAAAACAAUGAAACAUGUUUUAAAUAUUUUAGUAAAAGAAAGAAGCUUUACACACUUUCAAAGCUAUUGUUAUAGAUCAAGCAAACAAUAAUUUACACAAGAAUCAACACAUCUUCAUAACUGUCCUAUAUAUAAGUAUUAGCUACUUCAUCAAUCAUGCCUCAGUUUACUUCAAUUUAACAUCUUAAAGAUCCUUAAGAAGCCUACUUGAUGAAUGCUCUUGUGAAUCACCUUUACUUGGGAGAGAAAUUGAGGAAUCUAUCCAUGGUCCCUCCAUUGACAUGCUUCCUUGAUCAUGAAUAUCCUGAGAGAACUUGGAGAUGUGAGUUUGGCUGUCAUGAGACAAAAUUUCAAAGGCUUUAAACCUUGCAUCCUGAUCCAUGGAACCACGCUUGAUUAUUGGAGCUUGGACUGGAAUUUUGCCUUCCACCAUACUCACUACAGAAGACAUUGAUGGCCUCAAUGUGGGAGAUGGGUUGGUGCACAACAAAGCCAGGUUAAGAACCCUCAUUGCCUCUUGCUUUGAGUAGUUUGAUCCUAGAUUUGGAUCCACAAGUUCCAGAAGGUUUCCUUGCUCUUGCAACACAUAAGCCUUCGUUUAUGUAACAAAAGAAAAGGGUUUAGAUAUCUAGCUUGUGUAGUCUUUCCAAGCAAGAAUAGUAUCAUUAAAUUUGCACACAAGAAAUUUUUGGAUGCAAAUAUGAAUAAUUAGGUUUCCUGGAAUUUUCUAGCAAUGAAGAUUAUGGUUUCUGCAGUGUAAAUGUAAAAUGUAUAAGGGAAAAUAAAUUCUAUAAGGGAAAACUGCAAUAAAUAUGGUACCCAAUCAAGAAGAUAAACAAACUCCUCCUUUGGUCUGUAAUUGGUGUUGCUCUUCCCACUUACAAUCUCCAGAGCAACAACUCCAAAGCUGUAAACAUCUGCUUUAUCUGUCAAGUAACCCCUCAUAGCAUAUUCUGGAGCCAUAUAACCUAUUGUUCCAGCUAUUCGUGUGCUGAUAUGAGUGUUCUCGUCUUCAUCAAGCUUGGCUAAACCAAAGUCUGAUAUCUUAGCAUUUAAAUCCUUAUCAAGAAGCACAUUGGUAGCCUUAAUAUCCCUGUGUACAAUUUUCAGCCUUGACUCCUCAUGGAGAUAAGCUAAUCCCUUUGCAAUACCCAACAAUAUCUUCUUUCUUGUUGGCCAGUCCAAUUCAAGUCGUUGAUCCUCAUGAGCAAAAAGUGCGCGAGCAAGACUGUUAUUUUCCAUGUAUUCAUAGACUAGCAACAAUUGGUUUCCUUCAAUGCAGCAGCCAUACAGCCUCACAAGGUUAGGAUGUUGUAACGCAGAUAUCAUGCCUAUCUCAUUCACAAAUUCACGGUUCCCUUGCUUCGAUUUUGAUGAGAGCUGCUUAACAGCAAUUAUUGCACCAUCUGACAGCACUCCCUUGUACACUGGCCCAAAUCCUCCCUCUCCAAUCUUAUUUACUGCGUCAAAAUUGUUGGUAGCAUGUUUAAUUUGUCUUAGAGUGAAAUAACCAGUCUGGAGAUCUAGUCCACGAAGUUCUUUAUCUUCAAGGUCCUUCCCUCCUAAAUAACCUUUCAAUCGGAGGACUAUCAAGAUCAGCACAACAACCAGACAUGAAGCAGCUACAAUGCCAAUAAUAGCUCCAACCGGCAACCCUCCUCCAUCAUCAACCUUGAAGUUUGGUGUCACUGUAAUAGCUGAUAUGAGAGGUCCAUAGACACCUCUAACUGGAAUUGCAUUAGUACCUUUGCCCAACCAAUAUAAAUGUAUCUCCAAUGUGCUACCAUUAACGGUAAUAUUAUCAAAUUCUGCAACAUAACCAAUACCAGCUCCUCCAGCUUUCUCCAUAAUAUUGAAAUCCUUCAAAACUACAUUUCCUUGAAUUGAUACAUCAAAUAUGCGUCUUCCAAGGCUGCUAAAUGUCUCAUCAUUGGAAAACAUGAUUUCAGCAAAGUGAAGCUUCACAUUAUAGCUGCCCUGCCGCAUACAUAAGCCAUAGUACUUGAGUGAUUGAGGAGCAAGGCGGGCAGAUUCAUACAAUCCUGCUCCAGUCACAUUUGUACCAAAACUUGUUCUUGCUACAAAAUUAGCACCAUCAUCGCCCACAAAAAGUCCAGUACUGCUAUAAGCCCAUUUCUCUGCUACAGAAAUAAAGGCAGAUGCCCCCCCUGGAGUUAAGUCAUCUUCAUAUUCAUUAUUGUUGAAGCUCAUCUUGGAUCCCCCACAGUUUAUAAACAAUGAAUGGUAUUCAGGUUUCCCAGAGCAGGUAAGGUCCUUCCUCAAGCACCAGGAAAUCUCAUUGCUCUCAGAAGGUGAAAAACUAGAAACUAAGUUCACUUCUGGCAGCUGGCAACCGCUUGUAACUGACCCCGUAAAAUUGUUGUAAGAUACAUCCAAGUUCUGCUUCCUGCUUAAUAUCCAGUCAGGUAGUGUUCCGGUCAGCGAGUUAUUAGUCAGAAACAUAUAAUUUAUUUUUUGCAAAUUCGAAAAUGUGCCUGGAAUUGAGCCUGUCAACUUAUUGAAGCUAAGGUCUAAAACUUUUAAGUCUGCCAUAUUUCCAAUGUAUUCCGGGAUUGUAGCAGUGAUUAAGCAAUUUCUCAGUAUCAAUCUCUGCAUUUUUGUCAUAGCGCUAAGAUCAGGGAAAUUUGAACUUGUUCCAUGCAAAUCGGAUAUUCUCAAUUCAGUUAAGUUCGUCAACAGUGAUAUGGUAGCAGGAAUAGGACCCUCCAGGGAUGUUCCUUGCAAAUCUAAUCUAUCAAGAUUUGUCCAAUUCCCGAUAAAUUCAGGUAUUUUACCUGAGAGUUCAUUCCCAUCUAUCCUAAAGUCAGUUAAGUUCUUUAAAUUGCCAAAUGAAACUGGUAUCACUCCUGUGAUAUUGUUUGAAGAAAGAUAGAGUUCCUUCAAGCUCCUCAUAUUUCCAAGGUUUGAAGGGAGAGGUCCUACAAGAAGAUUAUCCUCCAAGACCAUUUUCUCCAGUGUAGCAAUGUUGCCAAUUUCAUCAGGAAUUGGACCAGUGAGACGGUUUCCCAGAAGGGACAAUAUCCGAAGGUUAGGGAGCCAAGCAAGACUUUUAGGAAUUGUUCCAUUGAGAUAGUUACGAGUGAGAUCAAGUUCAACCAGAAAAGUAAGGUUUCCAAUUUCAGUGGGUAGAACUCCAGUCAAGUUAAAACCCUUCAGCAGGAUAUUUGUAACGUGACAAACGGCGCCGUUUUCAAAUGAACAAUUGCACGUAACAUUACUUAGAAUGUUGUUAUCCGAGAUGAUCCGUUUCCACUCUUCUUUGCUGCAAGAAUCUUGGGUGACGCUCCAGGGGCUCUUCAAUUUCGUAGAUAUUGUUUGAAGAAUUUCCACUUCAUCUUGAGGCAAGACUUGAGCCCGAGAUCCCAACUUGACAAAAAAGCAAUCCAAAACCAAAACCCAGAAAACAAUAACAGAGAAAAUCUUCAAGACAGUAGGAACAAACGCCAUAGUGUUUUUCCUUUUGCUCUUCUUAUCUUCUCUGGGAGAACAGAGAGAAUGCAAGAAGAAAAUGACAAGAAUUGCAGCGAAAUUAACAAAGAAUAAAUCUUAGAAGAAGAGGGUGGAGUAGCAGUUGGAGGAUUAAAGAUGACAGAAGAGUUUGGAUUUUAUCAAGGUGCUGUUGUAAGGUUUCUUUUGAAUGCGUCAAAUUAAAAAGAAAAUGACGAAUACGACACUGUUUCUUUCUAAUUACAAAAGCGUUUCAAUGAAAAGCGGCA
rnacentral:misc_RNA from 1 species